rnacentral:rRNA from 1 species
UAGCUCACUGGUCGAGUCGGCCUGCGCGGAAGAUGUAACGGGGCUAAACCAUGCACCGAAGCUGCGGCAGCGACGCUUAUGCGUUGUUGGGUAGGGGAGCGUUCUGUAAGCCUGCGAAGGUGUGCUGUGAGGCAUGCUGGAGGUAUCAGAAGUGCGAAUGCUGACAUAAGUAACGAUAAAGCGGGUGAAAAGCCCGCUCGCCGGAAGACCAAGGGUUCCUGUCCAACGUUAAUCGGGGCAGGGUGAGUCGACCCCUAAGGCGAGGCCGAAAGGCGUAGUCGAUGGGAAACAGGUUAAUAUUCCUGUACUUGGUGUUACUGCGAAGGGGGGACGGAGAAGGCUAUGUUGGCCGGGCGACGGUUGUCCCGGUUUAAGCGUGUAGGCUGGUUUUCCAGGCAAAUCCGGAAAAUCAAGGCUGAGGCGUGAUGACGAGGCACUACGGUGCUGAAGCAACAAAUGCCCUGCUUCCAGGAAAAGCCUCUAAGCAUCAGGUAACAUCAAAUCGUACCCCAAACCGACACAGGUGGUCAGGUAGAGAAUACCAAGGCGCUUGAGAGAACUCGGGUGAAGGAACUAGGCAAAAUGGUGCCGUAACUUCGGGAGAAGGCACGCUGAUAUGUAGGUGAAGUCCCUCGCGGAUGGAGCUGAAAUCAGUCGAAGAUACCAGCUGGCUGCAACUGUUUAUUAAAAACACAGCACUGUGCAAACACGAAAGUGGACGUAUACGGUGUGACGCCUGCCCGGUGCCGGAAGGUUAAUUGAUGGGGU